rnacentral:tRNA from 1 species
GGGUCGGUAGUCUAGCUUGGUAUGAUUCUUGCUUGGGGUGCAAGAGAUCGGGUGUUCAAAUGUAUUCGGGAACU